UACGUAGGUGGCAAGCGUUGUCCGGAAUGAUUGGGCGUAAAGCGUCCGCAGGUGGCUGUGUAAGUCUGCUGUCAAAGAGCGAAGCUCAACUUCGUAAAGGCAGUGGAAACUACACGGCUAGAGUGCGUUCGGGGCAGAGGGAAUUCCUGGUGUAGCGGUGAAAUGCGUAGAGAUCAGGAAGAACACCGGUGGCGAAGGCGCUCUGCUAGGCCGCAACUGACACUGAGGGACGAAAGCUAGGGGAGCGAAUGGG
rnacentral:rRNA from 1 species